rnacentral:rRNA from 1 species
UACGAAGGGGGCUAGCGUUGUUCGGAAUUACUGGGCGUAAAGCGUGCGCAGGCGGCUUCUCAAGUCAGGGGUGAAAGCCCAGAGCUCAACUCUGGAAUUGCCUUUGAGACUGAGUGGCUUGAGUACGAGAGAGGGGAGUGGAAUUCCCAGUGUAGAGGUGAAAUUCGUAGAUAUUGGGAAGAACACCGGUGGCGAAGGCGGCUCACUGGCUCGUAACUGACGCUCAUGCACGACAGCGUGGGGAUCAAACAGG